GACGAACGCUGGCGGCGUGCCUAAUACAUGCAAGUCGAGCGGACCGGAUUGGGGCUUGCCUUGAUUCGGUCAGCGGCGGACGGGUGAGUAACACGUGGGCAACCUGCCCGCAAGACCGGGAUAACUCCGGGAAACCGGAGCUAAUACCGGAUAACACCGAAGACCGCAUGGUCUUCGGUUGAAAGGCGGCCUUUGUGCUGUCACUUGCGGAUGGGCCCGGGGCGCAUUAGCUACUUGGUGAGGUGACGGCCCACCAAGGCGACGAUGCGUAGCCGGGCUGGGGGGGAGAACCGCCAAACUGGGAAUGGGACCAGGCCCAGACCCCUACGGGAGGGAGCAGUAGGGAAUCUUCCGACAUGGGGGGAAGGCUGACGGAGCGACGCCGCGUGAGGGAAGGAGGGCUUCGGGUCGGAAAGCUCUGUUGUGAGGGACGAAGGAGCGUCGUGCGAAGAGGGCGGCGCGGUGACGGUACCUAACGAGAAAGCCCCGGCUAACUACGUG
rnacentral:rRNA from 1 species